GCGGAUGUGGCGAAAUGGCAGACGCAGCAGACUCAAAAUCUGCCGAUGGCAACAUCGUGCGGGUUCGACUCCCGCCAUCCGCA
rnacentral:tRNA from 1 species